UUGGCAAUGUUCUUCUCUCAGUGGUUUCACUACGUCAUCCCACUGUCUCCCCACUGUAAAGUUUCUGCUGGUAAAUCCCGAUUACCGUCCCAGGCUUCCUUUUGAACCCAGGAAGAAAUGGAGGCCCAGAGAGUCCGCACCGCCGAAGAUCACACAGCUGGGGAGAGACCUUGAGCCUCCAGGUUGGGAACGUAGACCCGGCCUGAUGUGCAUGGGGCCUGGCCUCCCUCUGAAGAACAGCUGGACUGUGGACAAGUACCUGCAAGAAAUCCUUUCUGCAGCUGCCGAGAGUGAAAUGUUGGUGGUUAAGGGUUUGAGUCUGCACAGCCGCCUUUGUCCAGACUGUCAAUGACCGGAACCGGCCCUGGGACCCAGGCAAGGCCACUCUUGAAGUUUCCUCGAGUACCUGGUGCAGACCAGGGCUUCUCAACACUGAGCUGGGCUGAACCACGGAUUGGAGCCCAGGCUUCAAGAGGAGGGAACUGACCAGGCUGAACCUGAUGGUCAGUGAGCUACAGUGACUUGCCUGAGGUGAUCAGGUUCACACCUGACCUAUUUGCGGUGUGCCCCAAGACUGCUUGACUGCAAAGUCCAGAGUUGUGUUCCCUCCUCCACUUUUCCUCCCAAGACCGUCUGCACACUGAUCCCUUCACCAGAGCAUUCUACAGUGGCGACUCUCCAUUCCAUUUUAGUGACGGCUACCUCAGAGCCAUCGAAGCAUCGAGAGUAAGUCUUUCAGUCAACUCAGAAGAAGGAGACCUGAGCAGCUUAAGGAAGGGGACUAUACGAUUGGAAAAGAAGUGUAGAAUGCCCUGUCUCAUGUUUGGGUGGCUACCACCCAGCCUCAGAAAAACAGCUUCAAUUCAAAGCCUAUGUCCUACUUUUUACUUUUCCCUACUUCCUGAUUUGGAAAUACAAGUAGUAAGCUGUAUAUAGCGGCCUUUCAUACAA